AAAAAGGUUCUUUUCAGAACCACCAUUUUGAAAAACAUCCAAGACA
rfam:Monodelphis domestica chromosome 1, whole genome shotgun sequence.